rnacentral:rRNA from 1 species
GACGAACGCUGGCGGCGUGCUUAACACAUGCAAGUCGAACGGUAAGGCUCCAGCUUGCUGGGGUACACGAGUGGCGAACGGGUGAGUAACACGUGGGUGACCUGCCCUGCACUUCGGGAUAAGCCUGGGAAACUGGGUCUAAUACCGGAUAGGACCGCACCGUGAGGGUGUGGUGGAAAGUUUUUUCGGUGUGGGAUGGGCCCGCGGCCUAUCAGCUUGUUGGUGGGGUAAUGGCCUACCAAGGCGGCGACGGGUAGCCGGCCUGAGAGGGUGGACGGCCACAUUGGGACUGAGACACGGCCCAGACUCCUACGGGAGGCAGCAGUGGGGAAUAUUGCACAAUGGGCGGAAGCCUGAUGCAGCGACGCCGCGUGGGGGAUGACGGCCUUCGGGUUGUAAACUCCUUUCACCAUCGACGAAGGGUUUCUGACGGUAGAUGGAGAAGAAGCACCGGCUAACUACGUGCCAGCAGCCGCGGUAAUACGUAGGGUGCGAGCGUUGUCCGGAAUUACUGGGCGUAAAGAGCUCGUAGGUGGUUUGUCGCGUCGUCUGUGAAAUUCCGGGGCUUAACUCCGGGCGUGCAGGCGAUACGGGCAUAACUUGAGUACUGUAGGGGAGACUGGAAUUCCUGGUGUAGCGGUGAAAUGCGCAGAUAUCAGGAGGAACACCGGUGGCGAAGGCGGGUCUCUGGGCAGUAACUGACGCUGAGGAGCGAAAGCAUGGGGAGCGAACAGGAUUAGAUACCCUGGUAGUCCAUGCCGUAAACGGUGGGCGCUAGGUGUGGGUUUCCUUCCACGGGAUCCGUGCCGUAGCUAACGCAUUAAGCGCCCCGCCUGGGGAGUACGGCCGCAAGGCUAAAACUCAAAGGAAUUGACGGGGGCCCGCACAAGCGGCGGAGCAUGUGGAUUAAUUCGAUGCAACGCGAAGAACCUUACCUGGGCUUGACAUAUACAGGAUCGCGCCAGAGAUGGUGUUUCCCUUGUGGCUUGUAUACAGGUGGUGCAUGGUUGUCGUCAGCUCGUGUCGUGAGAUGUUGGGUUAAGUCCCGCAACGAGCGCAACCCUUGUCUUAUGUUGCCAGCACGUUGUGGUGGGGACUCGUAAGAAACUGCCGGGGUUAACUCGGAGGAAGGUGGGGAUGGCGUCAAAUCAUCAUGCCCCUUAUGUCCAGGGCUUCACACAUGCUACAAUGGUCGGUACGGUGGGUUGCCAGUCCGUGAGGGCGAGCUAAUCCCGCAAAGCCGGUCUCAGUUCGGAUCGGGGUCUGCAACUCGACCCCGUGAAGUCGGAGUCGCUAGUAAUCGCAGAUCAGCAACGCUGCGGUGAAUACGUUCCCGGGCCU